AGUGAACGCUGGCGGCGUGCUUAACACAUGCAAGUCGAACGAGAACGGAAUAUAGCUUGCUAUAUUUGUCAGCUAAGUGGCGCACGGGUGAGUAAUGUAUAGAUAGCCUGCCCUUAAGAAAGGAAUAACAGUUGGAAACGACUGCUAAUGCCCUAUAUGCCUUUAAUACAUAAGUAUGCAAGGGAAACGCUUUAGUGCUUAAGGAUGGGUCUGUAUGGCAUCAGCUUGUUGGUGAGGUAAUGGCUCACCAAGGCUAUGACGCCUAACUGGUUUGAGAGGAUGAUCAGUCACACUGGAACUGAGACACGGUCCAGACUCCUACGGGAGGCAGCAGUGGGGAAUAUUGCACAAUGGACGAAAGUCUGAUGCAGCAACGCCGCGUGGAGGAUGACACAUUUCGGUGCGUAAACUCCUUUUAUAUAGGAAGAUAAUGACGGUACUAUAUGAAUAAGCACCGGCUAACUCCGUGCCAGCAGCCGCCGUAA
rnacentral:rRNA from 1 species